GUGGGGAAUAUUGGACAAUGGGGGGAACCCUGAUCCAGCCAUGCCGCGUGUGUGAAGAAGGCCUUUUGGUUGUAAAGCACUUUAAGCGAGGAGGAGGCUACCGAGAUUAAUACUCUUGGAUAGUGGACGUUACUCGCAGAAUAAGCACCGGUUAACUCUGUGCCAGCAGCCGCGGUAAUACAGAGGGUGCAAGCGUUAAUCGGAUUUACUGGGCGUAAAGCGCGCGUAGGUGGCCAAUUAAGUCAAAUGUGAAAUCCCCGAGCUUAACUUGGGAAUUGCAUUCGAUACUGGUUGGCUAGAGUAUGGGAGAGGAUGGUAGAAUUCCAGGUGUAGCGGUGAAAUGCGUAGAGAUCUGGAGGAAUACCGAUGGCGAAGGCAGCCAUCUGGCCUAAUACUGACACUGAGGUGCGAAAGCAUGGGGAGCAAACAGGAUUAGAAACCCCGGUAGUCC
rnacentral:rRNA from 1 species